rnacentral:lncRNA from 1 species
UGUAAUCCCAGCUACUCAGGAGACUGAGGCAGGAGAAUUGCUUGAAUCUGGAAGGUGGAAGUUGCAGUGAGCUGAGAUUGUGCCAUUGCACUCCAGCCUAGGAAAUAUUAAAGGAAGUUCUUCGGGGUCAUUAUAGAUUGAAUAUUUGUGUCUCCCAAAUUCGUAUGUUGAACCCUAAUCCUCAUUUGGAUCAUAUUCAGAGGUGGAGUUAAUGCCCUUAUAGAAAAAGGAAGAGACAUGAGAUCUCUUCGUGUACAUGCACAAGGGAAGGCUGAGGGAGGGAGGACAUAACCUGGAAGAGAGCCCUCACCAAAGACUCGGUGUGGCUGGCACCGUGACCUUGGACUUCCAACCUCCAGAACUGUGAGAAAAUAAAUUUCUAUUGUUUAAGCCCCCCAGACUAUUGUAUUCUGUUAUAGUAACCCGAACUAAGACAAGGGUGAGGAUAAAAAAUCCCAGUUGGAAGCUCAUAUCUUCCAGAAGGAAUGAAGGCCACUAGAAACAGAAAUGGUUAGAUAAAUAGAAAAGAACAGUUCAAAAAAUACAUUUUAGAGCCUACUGACUGCUUGAAAUAAAUAAUAACAGAGUAUGGGCAGAUUUAUGUAAUAAGUAGAGGUAAAAUAUAUAAUAGGUAACCUAAAGGGGAGUGAGUGGUUAAAAGAAAUUAAACUGUUGUAAGUUUCUAGCAUUGUACAUGAAGUUGUGUAUCAACUCAAGGUAGAGUAUAAGUUAAGGAGGCAUAUUAUAAUCCCUAGAGCAACAAUUAGGUAUGAAAUAAAGAGUUAUUACUAAUUGAAUGGAAAAGAUAAAAAGGAAUAAUAAAAAUGCUUGAUUAAUUCAGAAGUCUGGAAAGGAGAAAUAAUGGAUGAGAAGGGACAAAUGGAAACAAAAUAAAAAGAUGGCAAACUUACACACAACCAUAUGAGUAGUUCAAAAAGUAAAUGGAAUAAAUCCACCAAUGAAACAAGAGAACUUCUUUGUUUGGACAGAAAAAAAGAAAACUUGACCCUAUAAUGUUUACAAGAGACUAUCUUUAAAUAUAAGGAUACAGAAAGGUUAAAAGUAAAAUAAUAGAAAAAGAAAUAGUAUAAGAAAGCAGAUGCAGCUAUAUUAAUAUCAUUGCUAUAUUGAUAUAGUUGAUGACCUACAUUAAUAUUUCCAGAGAUAAGGAUGUACUUUUCAUCCUAAUGAUAAAGGGUUAAUUCUUCAGGAAGUGUUAACUGCCCUAAAGUGUAUUCACCCUGUAUGCGUCGGUAAUUUAUAGAACUAAGGUAAAAAAAAAUUGUCAAAUUCACGUUAUAUCAUUUCUCUUUCAAUAACUGAUAGAAUAAUAAGCAGACAAAAAAUGGAUGAAGAUACAUAAGACUUGAACCACACUAUAAACCAAUUUGACCUAAUUGGUCAAAAUUUGAGAAUAUUAUACCCAACAACUGCAGAAUAUAUAUUCUUUUCAAAUGGAUAUGAAACAUCACCAGAAUAGGUCGUAUUUUGGACCAUAAAUAAUUUUGGAUAAAUGUCAAAGGUUUAAAAUCAAAAGGAGUGUGUUUCUUAACCACAUGGGAACCAAGAGGGAAGUCAACGACAAAAAGAUUAUCAGAUAAACUGUUCAGAAAUUAAUCUACCUAAUAUAUGGGUUUAAAAAGAAAUCACAAGAGACAUUAGAAAAUGCUUUUAACUGAAUGAUAAUGAAAAUACAACGAAUAAAAAAAUUUAGGAUGGCUCAUGCUUGUAAUCCCAGGGCUUUAGGAGGCUAAGGUGGGAGGAUCGCUUGAGUCCAGGAGUUCAAGACCAGCCUGGGCAACGUAGUGACACCCUGUCUCUACCAAAAAAAAAAAAAAAA